rnacentral:rRNA from 1 species
CCUACGGGAGGCAGCAGUGAGGAAUAUUGGUCAAUGGGGGGAACCCUGAUGCAGCGACGCCGCGUGUGGGAAGACGGUCCUCUGGAUUGUAAACCACUGUCCCCAGGGACGAAAAUGACGGUACCUGGGGAGGAAGCUCCGGCUAACUACGUGCCAGCAGCCGCGGUAAUACGUAGGGAGCGAGCGUUGUCCGGAAUUACUGGGUGUAAAGGGAGCGUAGGCGGGGAUGCAAGUUGGGUGUCAAAACUACCGGCUCAACUGGUAGUCGCACUCAAAACUGCAGCUCUUGAGUGAAGUAGAGGCAGGAGGAAUGCCUAGUGUAGCGGUGAAAUGCGUAGAUAUUAGGAGGAACACCAGUGGCGAAGGCGGCCUGCUGGGCUUUUACUGACGCUGAGGCUCGAAAGUGUGGGGAGCAAACAGGAUUAGAUACCCUUGUAGUC